CAGUUACAUCUCUGGAAGGAUACAAAUCACAUUAUCUGUUGUGUCCAGAAAUACACUAAACUUUUGUUACAUAACAGAAAUUCCUACAUUUUUAUUUGUAAAACCCAAAACCUUACUUUGUUUCAUCCAAACUUAAUGUCUUUUUCUUUAAUGUGUAUCAACCAUUUCUAUAUAUUCAUGACUUUUUUUCUGCUCUGCUCACUUUCAUUUUUUUUGCUCACUUUCAAAUUCUUUGAGUAUCUGUACACUAUUCACAGAACCCCAAUCUCAAGAAUUUGAGUGAUUUGUCUUCCUUCUAACUUAACCUUUUAUAGCCCAAUCAUAUCUUAAGUAUUUGAAAAGGUUCCAGAAAAUAAAAUCUCAAAAGGUUAUGAUUUAAAGUAAUGAAAAUUUUCUUUGCAUAUGAUACUUCAUUCCUGUUAAAUCCCCUAAAAAUAGUUUGCUGUUUUCUGUCAACUGUAUUUUGCCUGAAAGGGAGGAAGUAAUUACUAAGAACAGGAUUAGGCUGGUUUGGGAAAUACUUUCAUGGCACCCUGUAAGCAUUUUAGUCGACUUUGAAACUAUGGCUAAAACAAAGUAAUUUUAUUUCCCUUCCUGAUUUUGUAGCUUUCUUGCUCCCUGAGAAUUAUAACAUAGUGACUUGGUGUUGCUUGCAAGAAUAUUGGAUUUCACUGGGUGCCAGAUCAUACCGUCUUUUUAAAUCAUGUUCCUUUCAUAGAUAAUUUGCCCCACUGUAAAAUCAUUAAGGAUAUUCAUUAAGUAUGCCACUCUUUUGUAGAGGAUCAAUAUAUCUAAAAUAAAAGGCACAGUUGUUUGCAUUUAGUUUCAGUCAUGUUUUCUUUUAGGCUUUCAGUAUUUUGUUUUUAAUACGCCAGAGUAGCUCCUCAUGUAAUGAGAUGGCACCUUGUGUAAUGAGCUACUGUUUAUUGUUAUUCCUGGCAACAGACCAUACGAGGGCAAGGCCUGUUAAAUACAAGUGCGCACCGGAGAUGCUCUUUCAACCUGCAGUGAGGGCCUGUAUGAGCAGAGGAAGGACAAUAUUUUUCCUUCUGUUUAGUCUCCAGGCAGAUUACAGAUGUCUCCAGCCUUUCUGUCUAGAGGCCUGGAUCUGCUAUGCUUGGUAUUUUGGAGUAUGCAGAAAAGAAAGAAGAACCUAGAAAUCAUCAUAAUUCUGCCGCUCAUAAAUAGUAUAUGUGUUCUUUUUAAGCUUUCAUUCUUUGUGAUAUGCCUAUGUGUACAUAAAAAGAAAACCAAAAUUUUAUACUAUGUAUUAUGUGCUACUUUUGUGUGUUUAUUUCCUAAUUACACAAAUUUUACAUAAAUGCAUUUCAUAAUAGUUUUGUGCAUUUUUUAAAUUUCAUGUUGUGUAGAUUUAUAAUACGCACACAGCACAUUUUAACACAAAUUUGACCACAUAAUUGUGUUUUUGGGAUUGUAAUUUUUCAUUCGUUAGUACAGUGGUUUAUAUUAAUGUCUCUCUCACCCAUAAAUUCUAAACUCUGUAAGUUUACAUACCAAGUCCCUUGUUAUCUUUGCAUACCCAGGCCUGACUGUCAAUCCCAACAUGGCUGUAAUAUCUACCUCUCCAUAGGUCUUGAAGUUAAUUUCAAUUCUUCCCAGACAUGUCAAUAGAUUUUAUAUUUAUACAUAUAUAUAAAUAUAUUUAUAUAUUUAUAUCAACAUAUUUUGUAUGUUUUGUAUUUGUUUUUGUGAUUACUUUUAGCUUUUCUAAUCCUUUUUAAAAC
ensembl:lncRNA